GUUUCCGGUUCGUGGCUCCGGAAGUUGCUUUUGAGCUCGCGUGUGGCUGAGUGUGGUCUUUGUGAGUUUCUACCACCAUGGCGUACCGUGGCCAGGGCCAGAAAGUGCAGAAGGUGAUGGUACAGCCCAUCGUAUCCUACCAGGAAUGUCCGGACCACGAGAGAUCUCGGAUUCAAGUGUGGCUUUAUGAGCAGGUGAAUAUGCGGAUAGAGGGCUGCAUCAUUGGUUUUGACGAAUAUAUGAACCUCGUUUUAGAUGACGCAGAAGAAAUUCAUUCCAAAACAAAAUCAAGAAAGCAGCUGGGGUUAUCACUGGACUGAGAGACAAAUCCACCACCCCUGGCAGCCACUCCCCCUCCCCCCUUUCUUUAUGAAACAGAGAAAUGGAGAAGGGUGGAGGAGAUAGAGGGAAAAAAAAUUGCAUUACUACUUGCGAGGCUUCCCCCUGCAGGUGGGAACUGGGGCCUUGAACCUUGAGCAAUGUCGGAUCAUGUUAAAAGGAGAUAAUAUCACUCUGCUGCAAAGUGUCUCCAACUAAAAAUGAUGGAUGAAGUGAGAAAUGGUUGAGAAAGCAGUACAUUCACUUCUGUUUUUUUUUUUUUUAUGUGUGUUGUAGGGCAUGUGCUUCUAAAACGUUUGUUCAUAUUGUUUUGAUUACCCUGUUAUUAACCAGAUGACAAUAAAUGCUGUGGGGAUGUUUUUAUUUAAAAAUUUACGUCGUUUCUUUCUAUCCAGUGGUAGAGACCUUUUGCACAGUGAUGUGAUUCACUGUUGGUAUUUAUUUUAAAAUUUUAGGGAGGGUGACUGCUACCCAUAGCAUUUGCUUUUUAUAAAACUUGACUUGUAGAUUUUUAAGGCAGAGUAGGAAUUUUACUUGAGGAAAUUUUUCUGGUACUGUGUGGCAUAGAAAGGGAGACAUUACAAAAACAAAGGAUAUCACACUGAGAUGUCUUCUCAUUGGUGCUGAUUGUGAUGCUAGAACACAAAAGAGUUUCUAGCCACGAUGCGCAGGACAUUUGAACUUCAGUAGUGACACUGUGUUUGAGAAUCCCUUUGUCACCAAUGUCAGAAGCAUUUGAAUAAAGUGCCUUAAAAGU